AUUGAACGCUGGCGCAUGCCUUACACAUGCAAGUCGAACGGCAGCAUGGAAGAGCUUGCUCUUCUGAUGGCGAGUGGCGAACGGUGAGUAAAGCAUCGGAACGUACCGUGUAGUGGGGAUAACGUAGCGAAAGUUACGCUAAUACCGCAUACGCACUGAGGUGGAAAGCAGGGGAUCGCAAGACCUUGCGCUAUACGAGCGGCCGAUGUCAGAUUAGCUAGUUGGUAGGGUAAAGGCCUACCAAGGCGACGAUCUGUAGCGGGUCUGAGAGGAUGAUCCGCCACACUGGGACUGAGACACGGCCCAGACUCCUACGGGAGGCAGCAGUGGGGAAUUUUGGACAAUGGGCGAAAGCCUGAUCCAGCCAUGCCGCGUGAGUGAAGAAGGCCUUCGGGUUGUAAAGCUCUUUCGGCUGGGAAGAAAUCGCACAGGCUAAUACUCUGUGUGGAUGACGGUACCAGCACAAGAAGCACCGGCUAACUACGUG
rnacentral:rRNA from 1 species